rfam:Glycine max cultivar Williams 82 chromosome 9, whole genome shotgun sequence.
UUUUUAUUGGAUGAUGACGAUCACGUAUCAUAUUUUGAUCAAAUGUCAACUCCAUAAAAAAUGAAAUGCAUUGUUGUUUUCAUUAACUAAUCAGAACAUGAUACGUGAUAGUCAUCAUCU